CAUUUGAAUGGUGAACUGAGGAAAUCGGAUGGCCUUCCAUUGCGGGUAGGCACUGUCCUAUAUGCUAAGAGCUUAAACAGAAAAAGCUGAGAAAAGGUUCUCCGCACAAGAUGUACAGCCUGGGGAAAGGGGGCUGGAUCGAGGUAAUCCUGAGACAAUCCUGCUGUGUACACUGACAACUGGGCAGUCUCCACCAUGGAAAAAUAUUUUGCACAUACAUAAUAAUGCACUGCUGUGUAACAUUAACAUAACAAAAACUCCAAUGCAGCUCUCCUGGCGGAAAGGGAAUGAGAAGACUGCCUACGUGAAGAGGGGACGGAAAGAGCAGGGAACGGUGUUGCAGAUGAUCUCAUCUCCCUCGGCCCGAAGUCAUUAAUAAUGUUAGAAACUGGAAAACCAAGAAGGAGCAAGAGGACGGCUGUUUGGAGUUAUGACACUGAGAUUAUUCGGAGGUGAUGCUUAUUAAAAGAAAUCUCCAAAGCAUGGACCAGGCAGAUAAUGACAGAAGUGCCUUCUGAUUAGCCUUGUUUUAUAUGAGACACUGUUGACAUACAGUAAAUGCAUAAGCAGACAUGAAUAAAAUAAACCUCAAUAAAAAGCAUAAAAGAA